CCUCCUUGUGGCCAAGGUCCUCACCAUCCCUUGCAGCCCGCACGCAAGAAACCCCCCCCCAAGAAACCAGUGACCCAAAGUUCGCUGCGCUCCUGUCUCUUCGAUUUCUCUAUCAUUCUGCACCCCCCUUCCUGGAACAAGUCACCACGGAGCUGGAGAUGAGACUAACCAGGCUUAGAAGGAUCACGCAGCCUGCUCAAGAUGCCACAAUUGAUGAAGUACCAGAACCGGCAUUCAUCUCAGGCCGGUGUGAAAUAGCCCUCAAGCCCUGUUGAAUACUGCUUCCAUUCCACAGCCAUGUCCUCUGUUUUCUGCUUCUCUCUCGGGAUAGCUGGUCUCAGGGACCAGUGCUACUCUACUAUUUUAUUUUAUUUAUUUUUAUAUUUAUUUAUUUGCAGAACUACAUAGUUAUUUUAUAACUAUGUAGUCCUGCAAUUGCAAACUCAUGAAUUGGAAGACUUGAUUUUUUAAAACAAUAUUCAUCAUGUGUCUAAAAGUGUUUUUUUAAAAUUUCAUCUGAAAGAAAAUAUUCCAAAUCUAUUCUUGAUACAUGCUAGGUGUUAGGAUACCUCUGGACCUUUUUGACUCCAGCAUCCUGUCUAGCCAGCCUUCUCCUUUCCCAGCUUACAAAGCAUUUUAUAUCAGACAUUAUCUCUAUUUUACAAACACGGCUGCUGCUCAGAAGUGCUCCACACCUUUGUUUCCUGGAAGAGGAAAUGGCAUUUCCUGGAGCAGACUGCUUGUGGGUGGUGAGGUUCCAUAUUACGUUAAACACACCGCACUUUCAGUCGUGUGCUUCUUGCCUCCUUCAGGGUCUGCCCGAAUUUCCUGGAAUCGUGCUGAACACAGACCAGAGGGCAGCUGUGCCAGUUCAUUGCAGCCGGGAAGACAUGGUUCCUGCUUUGGAUCUAGAGCUAAGGGAUAAGGGACUCCCAGGAAUCUGGUCCCUGGAGAUACCACAAUCCAUCUUCCUUCAACUUGGGAUUUGCAAAAGGAAGCCUCAGACAUCACGUGACCAUCAUUUUAGACCUAAUUGACGACUGUCCCCUGGCUCCCAAAGAGACCAUGUGGCUCUUGCACCCGUCUGUGGAUUGACUUUUUAUGAAGGAUUUAGGAUAGAAAUUAAAAAGAAAAUGUUCUUAUUAUGAGCCUCAAUUUGGAGAAAGAUGAUACUUGGGGAGAAGUAGGAUAUGACAAACAGAUCAUUUAAGCACUGGAUUAUAUAAUAAGGACACUUCUCUCUCUGCAGAAGUCACCACUCCGAGGGAAUCAGAUUGGACUAUUUCAUGAGGAGUUUGGCUCCCUGGCUGUCCACUUUUCCAAGACCAGGCAGAAGCUGUUUUUAACAUGGGCCACAGGAAGCCUCAGAAGAAUCAGCAUGGCAUUAGAAGACAGCGAUCUACCUUAACCCAAAACACUCGAGAAACAUGUGGAGUCUAGGGUAAAAUGGUUCAGAAAUUGUCAAAAUUAUUCUAGAAGCUAUGGUUAAAAGUGACAGAGGUGCAGACAAAACACAGGUAUUUUAAAUUCACAGCUUGGAUAAGGGAAAAGGAGUUUUUGUUUUUUUCCUCUUCAAUCCUGUUUAGGCUUUCAAGUGGGAAAAAAGGAUAAUUAAAAGUUAGAAAUUGUUAAUGCCAGCAGAUAGCUCUAAACCUGAAGCAAAAAUUGGCCCUCCCUUGGGGAGUAAAUAAACCUGGAUUAUUACUGAUAAUGAGGUAUCAACUCUUCCAGGCCAUGAGGGGGAAUGGUAAAAGGUGAAUGCAAAUCUCACUCUGAGGUGAAAAAGAAAAAUGUUCAUAACAUGAUACUUUUGAAAGUUCCAUUGUUAUUAUACAUGCUUAGUAAUAUUAAGCUAAUUUAAAAAUCUUAGGCAAGGUAAGGGAGGUAGAUACUCUAUUUUCAUUUAAGAAAGAGAUAAUGAGUGAACCUGAUACUGUCUAAUAUUUAUUGUGUGUUUAGGACGUGUAUCAGGGCAUAGUGUUAAACAGUUAACUUUGAAUAUCUCAUUUGAUUCUUAAACAAAUCCCUUGAAAUGGGUAAUAUCCUCUUCAUUUUAUAGAUGUACUAGCUGAGCCUAGAGGUCAAAUAAAUGACAUCACCAGGCUCACAGAGCCAGUAAGCGAUGGACUUCAGUCUGUUGACUCCCAGAUCUGUGACUUUUGUCAUCAUACACACAGAAAAAGAUAAGAGCUGAAAUUAUAGCCUGAUGCUUGAAACAGUAAAAGAAUUUUGUGUUUGUUAAUGUCCCAAUUAAUAAAGUAUUCUAAGAAGAGUUAACACAUGUAUAGAAAGCCAAUUUGUGAAGUAUAAUGUAUCAAAAUGUCCAUUUUCUAAUACAACCAUAGAAUAUAAAACAAAAUUUAAUCUUUAAUGAUGCUAAACAUGUAGAGCUUAUUUUUUCCUGAGUACCAAUUAUUAUUACAUUAUUGAAGAAUCAAACUGA